rnacentral:rRNA from 1 species
GGACGAACGCUGGYGGCGUGCUUAACACAUGCAAGUCGAACGAUGAAGCUCUAGCUUGCUGGGGUGGAUUAGUGGCGAACGGGUGAGUAACACGUGAGUAACCUGCCCUUUACUUCGGGAUAAGCUUGGGAAACUGGGUCUAAUACCGGAUAUUCUGCAUGGUCGGAUGGUUGUGUAGGAAAGAUUUUUUGGUAAGGGAUGGGCUCGCGGCCUAUCAGUUUGUUGGUGGGGUGAUGGCCUACCAAGACGACGACGGGUAGCCGGCCUGAGAGGGCGACCGGCCACACUGGGACUGAGACACGGCCCAGACUCCUACGGGAGGCAGCAGUGGGGAAUAUUGCACAAUGGGGGAAACCCUGAUGCAGCGACGCCGCGUGGGGGAUGACGGCCUUCGGGUUGUAAACCUCUUUCAGUAGGGAAGAAGCGGAAGUGACGGUACCUGCAGAAGAAGUACCGGCUAACUAC